GAGUAAUAAAUCAAACCCGUAGAGAUAUUUCAAUAAUGUGUUUUUGUUCUUUAUACUCGUCAACUACUUAUAUCUAUCAUUUUUUUAAGCUCAAGUUUGAGGGCUCGACAGAGUCAGCUUAACCCGACCCGACCGUAGACGAUGCCAAUUAUGAUAUCCGACGCCCCCAGGGUGUAAGCAGAAAACAAGGAUGUGUUCUGCAGGCAGAUAAUCCCUGACAAGCCGAAAGGCCCGCCGGACUCACCUACGCGGAAGCCCCCGACCCACAGAGACUUCUAUAGUGUCAUAAUUGCCUCCACCCCUCCACCGACGGCCACAACUCUCGUCGUCCCUGUUUGUAGCAGUUUGUAGCUACACAGUUGUACCUACAACCGACACGGCCACAGGCAGCUUUAUCAGAACCGAGUGUAGAAACAAGUCCGCUCAGCGGCACGCCACGCCCUAAAUGUUUUUCUUAUACUGGCGUAAUCUGAGACAAGGUGAGUGACAACGCCUGCGGAGCAGCGGGUAGGCCCGCCCGCCAAGUGUCUGUGUGAAGAUGGUGGCCUACCCUCAGCGCCUGAGCUGCGAUACACCCUGCUCUCCCGCCAACCCCAAGUGGACGCAUAUGCACAUACCCUGCAACGAGACUACCACCUCGUGCAACAUUGCUGUUGUUUGUUCGUUAGGCGUUUGAUUGUUUGUGCCGUCGCAGAGGCUGUUGGUAUUUGGUGUUUAGCCAAAGAUGUUGGAUCUAGAGAGAAUGAAAACUCUCUAAAUAAGAGUGCUCAAAAUGAUACAAGUAAACCUGUAAAAAGGUUCAUUGCUUUAAUUUAGAAAAGCGUCCCCGCUCUACAAUCGUACUACUAUCAUGUCGGUAGGUCGUGUUAUGUGUUCUGAGAUAUGAAAGUACAAAUAGCCAAUGGGGUGACACCGUUCUGAGUUGGUGCAGUGAUUGUAAUUAACUAAGGCCACUGAGAGUAAUUGCAAUCCCUCCCCUUAUGUCGUCACUGGCACAGCUGUAGUUCAUGGCUCUCCUCGUGAUAGAGAUGCAGAGGAAGACCGUCCAAUAGUUGCAUCUGUGCUCGACAUCAGCUAAGCAGCCUAUGGGUGAUCUAAUGUAUGCUGAGUUGGCGUCACACCACACUGCAUGAGAAAUGGCCCCUUUUUCCCAUGAUCUCAGGAAUGAAUCUGGUAUCCUGAUUAGCCCCAAGUCACCAGCAGAAACAAGCCGGCUACUUGAGGAAGACUUACUCUUAUAAUGUAAAUGAUUUGAAACAAUAAAGAAUAGAAAAUCACUA